rnacentral:tRNA from 1 species
GCCCUUGUGGUCUAGCUAGGAUAUGAUUUGGCAUCGACGAAGCUAAGAUCGCGGGUUCGAAUCCCGCCAAGGGCA